AGCGAACGCUGGCGGCAGGCUUAACACAUGCAAGUCGAGCGGGCGUAGCAAUACGUCAGCGGCAGACGGGUGAGUAACGCGUGGGAACAUACCUUUUGGUUCGGAACAACACAGGGAAACUUGUGCUAAUACCGGAUAAGCCCUUACGGGGAAAGAUUUAUCGCCGAAAGAUUGGCCCGCGUCUGAUUAGCUAGUUGGUGAGGUAACGGCUCACCAAGGCGACGAUCAGUAGCUGGUCUGAGAGGAUGAUCAGCCACAUUGGGACUGAGACACGGCCCAAACUCCUACGGGAGGCAGCAGUGGGGAAUAUUGGACAAUGGGCGAAAGCCUGAUCCAGCCAUGCCGCGUGAGUGAUGAAGGCCCUAGGGUUGUAAAGCUCUUUUGUGCGGGAAGAUAAUGACGGUACCGCAAGAAUAAGCCCCGGCUAACUUCGUGC
rnacentral:rRNA from 1 species